AUUAGCUAGUUGGUGAGGUAACGGCUCACCAAGGCAACGAUGCGUAGCCGGCCUGAGAGGGUGAACGGCCACAUUGGAACUGAGACACGGUCCAGACUCCUACGGGAGGCAGCAGUGGGGAAUAUUGCACAAUGGGCGAAAGCCUGAUGCAGCAACGCCGCGUGAGUGAUGAAGGCCUUCGGGUUGUAAAGCUCUGUCUUCUGGGACGAUAAUGACGGUACCAGAGGAGGAAGCCACGGCUAACUACGUGCCAGCAGCCGCGGUAAUACGUAGGUGGCAAGCGUUGUCCGGAUUUACUGGGCGUAAAGGAUGCGUAGGCGGAUACUUAAGUCAGAUGUGAAAUUCCCGGGCUUAACUUGGGAACUGCAUUUGAAACUGGGUAUCUAGAGUGUGGGAGAGGAAAGUGGAAUUCCUAGUGUAGCGGUGAAAUGCGUAGAGAUUAGGAAGAACACCAGUGGCGAAGGCGACUUUCUGGACCAUAACUGACGCUGAGGCAUGAAAGCGUGGGGAGCAAACAGGAUUAGAUACCCUGGUAGUCCACGCCGU
rnacentral:rRNA from 1 species